rnacentral:lncRNA from 1 species
AGAGGAAAUGACAAGAAUUGCAGCUAACUCUUUUGAGUUUUUUGUUUUGUUUGUUUGAGACAGAGUUUCGCUCUGUUACCCAAGCUGGAGUGCAAUGGCGCCAUCUCGGCUCACUGCAACCUUCUCCAUCUCCCGGGUUCAAGCGAUUCUCCUGCCUCAGCCUCCCGAGUAGCUGGGAUUGCAGGCGCAUGCCACUACGCCCGGCUAAUUUUUGUAUUUUUAGUAGAGAGGGGUUUCAACAUUUUGCCCAGGCUGGUUUCGAACUCCUGACCUCAAGUAAUCCACCUGUCUUAGCCGCCCAAAGUUACAGGUGUGAGCCAGGGUGCCUGGCCUCUUUUUUUUCCAGGAAAAAUCAAGUUUUUUGCUGGUGGGAAUGACCAUCAAACUGCAUGACCAUUUUGAUGAUGCAGCAGGGUGAGGGGAAGUUUGCGGAGCGAAGCCCCCAAGCAGGUCCGAGGGGACCGGACCUUGGGCACAGGAGAUGGGAGCACCCCUCCCCUGACCCCCACCUCAAUGAGACGCAGCAUCAGGAACAUUCCCCGGAGCGGGGCUGGAGGGUGCAGUCACAGACACAGAACAGCGGAAGUGGUUCAAACAUUUGUGGAAUAUUUCUUCUGAUUCCUCCAUUUUUUCAGUAAAAUAGGGAACAAAGCCAAUUAGCAGAGGUAAAAUGAGGGCCCAAAGGUGUAACCCGGGAGUGGGUGACUAAUGUUAGAUGGAUGGCAGGGUGGUGGGGAGGAGACUGGGUAGCCAGGAGGCCAGGCUUUUGGAAAGGAUCACCUAAGUCGCCUAGGGUCACGUGAGAUUGGAUUGGAGAGAGUAACAGUGGCUGGGAGCUGAAGCCUUCAAGGAACACAGGAGGUGGCCUGGGGAACCACAGAUGACUGAACCCCCGAUGGUUUAGCCCAAUGGCAUGAGAUUGGGCAAUGGUCUGGAUGGGACAAAGAGGACUGAAGACGCCUGCUUUACCUCUAGGCCUCGUGGUAGAGAAAAGACCCACUCCUGAGAGGGCUACAGGGGAAGCAGAGGCUUCAAGGGGCCCCAGCUUCCACUGGAGCAACAAGCAGGAAAUGUUUACAGAAGAGGUGGAGGUGAUCAGAGACCACUGAUGACUGUGAGUUCCAGGGGCCCUGAGAACAGGUUUCACGAUUGGACAGGAAGUUGAGUCAAAGGAAGGAAGGUAUGAAGCUGAGUGGAGAUUGGGUCGCCAAGGGUGAGGGAUCUUCUGGAGGGCCUGGGAUUCUCAUGGUGACUGUCAUCAAGAAUAAAGGGCAUCGUAAUAUUAGUCCCAAAGUUCUCAAGGUAGAGAGCAGAACCAGGCUCUGGGGGUCAGGAGGUGGGAAGCAGGGGUCUAUUGGGGGAAGCAGAAGUGCAAGAAGUAUGGAGAAUUCAUGGUGGUGGUGGUCUUUUUUUUUUUUUUUUUUUUUGAGACAGAGUCUUGCUCUUGUCGCCCAGGCUGGAGUGCAGUGGCACAAUCUCAGCUCACUGCAACCUCUGCCUCCUGGGUAUAAGCAAUUCUCCUGCCUCAGCCUCCCGAGUAGCUGGGAUUACAGAUGCCUGCCACCACACCUGGCUAAUUUUUGUAUUUUUUAGUAGAGACGGGGAUUCACCACGUUGGCCAGGCUGGUCUAGAACUCCUGACCUCAGGUGAUCAGCCCGCCUUGGCCUCCCAAAGUGCUAGGAUUACAGGCAGGAGCCACCGCACCCGGCCUCAUGGUAGUGGUCUUAAACCCUCUCCGAACUGCACUUUGUAUAGCAAGCAUUGCUUUUCUGUUUUCUUAGGUCAGAAAAAUGACAAACAAUCCAGGAAGGAAAUCAGCAAAUUAUUAUGUUUAUAAAAUAUUAUAAACAGGCAAUUAACAGGGAGAAAAACUCAGAAUGACCGUUCCCAUGAAAGUUCAUGCUUAUUAAUAAUAGAGAAAAUAUAACUUUAAGAGACACUUGUUGACACUUAUUAGACUGGCAAGGCUUUAAAAAACGUAAUACCACAUAGUGGGAGGUACUUGAAAACAGAAAUCUUAAACCUUGCUGAUGGGUGUGUAAACUGAUGCAAUGACUUUGGAGAGAAAUUUGUUAAUAACGGAGAUGAAAAUACUGAACAAACCAGUUCUUCCCUUCUCUAGCCAGCAGUUCUUCUCAGUUUGCACACUCACAUAUAUGCGCCAGGAGAUAGCUAACUAGCAGUAAGUCCAUGGCAGCAUUGCUUGAAACUGUCAAAUUGGAAAUGCCCAUGAAUAGGCAAGUGGACAAACUGGGAUACAGUCACACAUGGCAUACUAUAUGACAGGAGAAAUCAGUGAACUACGUCAACAAGCAUCCACCUGAUAGAUCUCAAAAUGAGUGCUGAAGAAAUGAAAAACAAAAGCCUAUCACUGAAGCUUGCAUACCACGAAUAAGAAUCCACAAAACAAUGAGUUGUAGCUGCAUAUAUAUGUAUCAAAAAUAUAAAAUAUGGAUAUAAAUGAUACACACUGACUGAUAAUGGUUUGGGUCUGUGUCCCUGCCCAAAUCUCAUGCUGAAUUGUAAUCUCCAGUGUUGGAGAAGGGGCCUGGUGGGAGGUGACUGGAUCAUGGGGGCAGUUUCUGGUGGUUUAAGAUCAUCCCCCUAAUUGUUGUCAUGGCAAUAGUGAGUGUUACUGUGAGAUCUGGUUGUUUAAAAAUGUAUAGCCCCUCCCCACUUUCUCUCUUCCUUCUGCUCCAGCCAUGUAAGACACACCUCCUUCCACUUCACCUUCUGCCAUGAUUGUAAGUUUCCUGAGGCCUCCCCCAAAAGCCGAGCAAAUGCCGGCACCACACUUCCCAUACAGCCUGCAGAACCAUAAGCCAAUUAAACUUCUUUUCUUUAUAAAUUACCCAGUCUUGGGUAUUUCUUCAUGGCAGUGCAAGAACAGACUAUUACACUGACUUUAGAUAUGGCUACCUCUUGAGGGAAGGAAUAGGAUAAGAGGGGGUACAAAGGAUUUCAACUAUACCUAAUAUUUUCUUUAAAAUAAAAGCUCUGAAAGAUAUAUAGCAAAAAUACAGUAUCUAUUAAAUCUGAGUGGUAAGUUCCUCAAAUUUGUUACAUUAACUUGUUAUUUUUAGGUAUGUUUGGAUUUUUUACAAACAUAGGUUUCUAGUUUCUCAAUCCAUGUGCCAGUUUUAGGAAAGGAAAGGGAGUACGAAUAGCGCUACAAGGUGAGGACACUCACUGUUACAGCGUCAUGCUUGC